AACGAACGCUGGCGGCAGGCCUAACACAUGCAAGUCGAACGCUCUAGCAAUAGGGAGUGGCGCACGGGUGAGUAACGCGUAGGAAUCUACCCAUUAGCCUGGGAUAACAGCGGGAAACUGCUGCUAAUACCGGAUACGCUCCUUCGGGAGGAAAGGUUUACUACUAAUGGAUGAGCCUGCGUUAGAUUAGCUAGUUGGUGAGGUAAUGGCUCACCAAGGCUCCGAUCUAUAGCCGGUCUGAGAGGACGAUCGGCCACACUGGGACUGAGACACGGUCCAGACUCCUACGGGAGGCAGCAGUGGGGAAUAUUGGGCAAUGGGCGCAAGCCUGACCCAGCCAUGCCGCGUGAGUGAUGAAGGCCUUAGGGUUGUAAAGCUCUUUUAGUAGUGAAGAUGAUGACAGUAGCUACAGAAAAAGCCCCGGCUAACUUCGUGCCAGCCGCCGCCGUAAUAC
rnacentral:rRNA from 1 species